GAUGAACGCUGGCGGCGUGCUUAACACAUGCAAGUCGAACGAUGAAGCCCAGCUUGCUGGGUGGAUUAGUGGCGAACGGGUGAGUAACACGUGAGUAACCUGCCCUUAACUCUGGGAUAAGCCUGGGAAACUGGGUCUAAUACCGGAUAGGAGCGUCCACCGCAUGGUGGGUGUUGGAAAGAUUUAUCGGUUUUGGAUGGACUCGCGGCCUAUCAGCUUGUUGGUGAGGUAAUGGCUCACCAAGGCGACGACGGGUAGCCGGCCUGAGAGGGUGACCGGCCACACUGGGACUGAGACACGGCCCAGACUCCUACGGGAGGCAGCAGUGGGGAAUAUUGCACAAUGGGCGCAAGCCAGAUGCAGCGACGCCGCGUGAGGGAUGACGGCCUUCGGGUUGUAAACCUCUUUCAGUAGGGAAGAAGCGAAAGUGACGGUACCUGCAGAAGAAGCACCGGCUAACUACGUG
rnacentral:rRNA from 1 species